GCUGUGGCUCAGUGGUAAAACCUCUGCUUUGCAUGCAGAAGAUGCCAGGUUCUAUUCCUAGCAUAUCCU
rnacentral:tRNA from 1 species